AACUUUGGACAAUGGGGCAACCCUGAUCCAGCCAUGCCGCGUGAGUGAAGAAGGCUUCGGGUUGUAAAGCUCUUUCGGACGGAAAGAAACGGCGCGUGUUAAUACCACGCGUUAAUGACGGUACCGUAAGAAGAAGCACCGGCCAACUACGUGCCAGCAGCCGCGGUAAUACGUAGGGUGCAAGCGUUAAUCGGAAUUACUGGGCGUAAAGCGUGCGUAGGCGGCGGCUUGUGUCAGGUGUGAAAUCCCCGGGCUUAACCUGGGAAUUGCGCUUGAAACUAGGUCGCUAGAGUUCAUUAGAGGGGGGUGGAAUUCCAGGUGUAGCAGUGAAAUGCGUAGAGAUCUGGAGGAACACCGAUGGCGAAGGCAGCCCCCUGGGGUGAAACUGACGCUCAGGCACGAAAGCGUGGGGAGCAAACAGGAUUAGAUACCCUGGUAGUCCACGCCCUAAACGAUGUCAACUAGUUGUUGGGGGAAUUUAAUCUCCCAGUAACACAGCUAACGCGUGAAGUUGACCGCCUGGGGAGUACGGCCGCAAGGUUA
rnacentral:rRNA from 1 species